UACCUGCAGCUCAAGUGGUGACCACUAUUAUUGGGCCUAAAACGUUCGUAGCCGGUUUAUUAAAUGCUUGGGUAAAUCGUGUAGCUUAACUAUACGAAUUCCGGGUAGACUGAUAGACUUGAGACCGGGAGAAGCUAGAGGUACUCCUGGGGUAGAGGUGAAAUUCUGUAAUCCUGGGGGGACCACCAGUGGCGAAGGCGUCUAGCUAGAACGGGUCUGACGGUGAGGAACGAAGCCCUGGGGCGCAAACCGGAUUAGAUACCCGGGUAGUCCAGGGUGUAAACGCUGCCUGCUUGAUGUUAGUUGGGCUCCGAGCCCAACUAGUGUCGGAGAGAAGUUGUUAAGCAAGCUGCCUGGGAAGUACGAUCGCAAGAUUGAAACUUAAAGGAACUGGCGGGGAGCACAGCAACGGGUGGAGCGUGCGGUUU
rnacentral:rRNA from 1 species